rnacentral:sRNA from 1 species
ACUUAGCCCCGAUAGCAGCGGUUACCCCGGAGCAUGGGUAGGAACGUCGGAGGUAAGGUUGGGGGAGCAGCUUGGCGUGAGGAGUAUGAGCGGAUAGCGGGAAUAAGC